rnacentral:rRNA from 1 species
AGAGUUGAUCAUGGCUCAGGAUGAACGCUGGCGGCGUGCUUAACACAUGCAAGUCGAACGGAGCUUAUAAGCGGAAGUCUUCGGAUGGAAGCUUAUGAACUAGUGGCGGACGGGUGAGUAACGCGUGGGUAACCUGCCUUACACAGGGGGAUAACAGCCGGAAACGGCUGCUAAUACCGCAUAAGCGCACAGUGCUGCAUGGCACCGUGUGAAAAAGAUUUUUAUCGGUGUAAGAUGGACCCGCGUCUGAUUAGCUAGUUGGUGGGGUAACGGCCUACCAAGGCAACGAUCAGUAGCCGGCUUGAGAGAGUGAACGGCCACAUUGGGACUGAGACACGGCCCAAACUCCUACGGGAGGCAGCAGUGGGGAAUAUUGCACAAUGGGGGAAACCCUGAUGCAAGCGACGCCGCGUGAGUGAAGAAGUAUUUCGGUAUGUAAAGCUCUAUCAGCAGGGACGAAAAAAUGACGGUACCUGACUAAGAAGCCCCGGCUAACUACGUGCCAGCAGCGGC